rnacentral:rRNA from 1 species
GAUGAACGCUGGCGGCGUGCCUAGUACAUGCAAGUCGAGCGAACGUACUAGAAUCUUGCUUUUCUGAUGUUAGCGGCGGACGGGUGAGUAACACGUGGAUAACCUACCUAUAAGACUGGGAUAACUUCGGGAAACCGGAGCUAAUACCGGAUAAUAUUUUGAACCGCAUGGUUCAAAAGUGAAAGACGGUCUUGCUGUCACUUAUAGAUGUAUCCGCGCUGCAUUAGCUAGUUGGUAAGGUAACGGCUUACCAAGGCAACUAUGCAUAGCCGACCUGAGAGGGUGAUCGGCGACACUGGAACUGAGACACGGUCCAGACUCCUACGGGAGGCAGCAGUAGGGAAUCUACCGCACAGGGCGAAAGCCUGACGGGGAAACGCCGCGUGAGUGAUGAAGGUCUUCGGAUCGUAAAACUCUGUUAUUAGGGAAGAACAGAUGUGUAAGUAACUGUGCACAUCUAGACGGUACCUAAUCAGAAAGCCACGGCUAACUACGUG